rnacentral:lncRNA from 1 species
GGCUAGAGUAAGAACAAAGGAAGAAAAAAAGAACACAAACCCUAGGUGGAAAAAUUCAAGGGGAAAGUGUAAAAAUUCAAGUAAUCAAGCAAUCAAAGGUAAAAUUUCUUGAUUUUGACUUGUGAUCUACCUUUCCCAUGCAUUAUUUUGCAUUUUCCAUGGUUGAAUCACAAGAUAUCAUGAAGGAUUCAUGGCUGACCAAAUUUAGAGAGAGAAGAUUUGAUGAUUUAUAUGGUUAGAUUUUGAGAUAUUUUAGUGUUUAUAGUUGAUUUAUCAUGUUUGGAAGGAAAACAAGUAAGAAAAAUCACAUGUUCUUCAUGGAUUCUUCAUUGGCCGAAUUUUCCAUGUAGAGUGUGGAUGAUGUCACGACCCAAAUUCCAGGUCAUGAUCGACGCAUGGGCCUAAUGGACGUAGUCCACUAAGCCCAAGCAAGCCUAUUAAUCUGACAUGUUCAUCAUUCCAUCAUAAACUGCUAAGUCACAUUUCAUAACUUAGGAUCAAAAUAAUAUUAAACAUUUGCCACCUCAUACUGGCAUACUAAACAAGUGUAUAUACAUUAUCUACAACAUGUAUCUUAAUAUUUUACAUUAGGUUUGCCUAUACACAACAAAAGAAUACUUGACUUCCAGCGGAGGGUCUCGGACGAACGUAUAACUACUGAAUGCCAAGACACCUACCAAAAGAUGGAUACAAGUCUACAAGGACACCUCGUCCUAGUUACCGGCUACCUCGUGAUCUAAAAACAUGAAGUUGAAAACGGUGAGUAUAAACCCAGUGAGUGAACAAGGAAGGGAACAAGCAACAACAAGGGAGAAUUUAAAAUCAUGAUGCACUUGUUUCAAAACAAUGCAAUUUAGUUCCAUUCAUAUUAAAAACCCCUCAUCAAGCCCUUAAAUGAUUAAUCAUUUGAAAAUCAUGAACCCAUACAUAACGAACCGUUUGAAGAAUGAAAGCUUCAAUGAUACGCAAGCAAGUCAAAUACGACAACGAAUCUUCGCUGUAGCGGAAAGGCAUUCUCGCUGCAACUACGCUGGGAUUAAGUUAUUAGUCGAAUGAGGGUUUCUCAACUGGCUGAGGGUUUCUACUAAACUUCCUCAUUUUAAACUUAACUUAUUUAGUCCUUAAUGUUGGAAGUCCAUGCUCAGAUAUGGUAGCAAAGAAGUGAAAAAUAGGGCAGCAAUUGGACAAGAUAGGAGCAAAACAGAAAGUUUUUCGCUGCAGCGAGAUUCAAUCUCGCUACAGCGAAAUUGUAACCUAGAAACUGAAAGUUUCUCGCUGCAGCGAGAAUGAAUUUCACUGCAGCGAGAUGCUACAGUGUCAUUCUCGUUGCAGCAAAACUGCAUUCUCGCUGCAGCAAGUUUUCAGCCAGUCUACCCCUCCAACCCCGAGAGUUUCUAGCUGCAGCGAAAAUGAUUCUCGCUACAGCGAGAAACAGGCACCAAUGAAAAAUUUGCCCUUCUUUCAAAAGAAAAAAUUGCCCUGCUAAAAUGUCCAAACCAACAUGAAACGCAUAACAAAUUUCCAAAGUUUAACAUGUCAAGUUUCACAUGCAAUACAACCAUAUACCAUUACUCAUUAAUUUCCUAUAACACACAUAUUUACAUAUGUAUAUAUGUAUACGUAUACCCAUCAUCAUCAUGCACACCAUCCCAUCAUCAUCAUACACACCAUCACAUAAUCAUCAUCAUCACCGGGUUAUGCGCACUCUCUACUCGCACAUGGCUAGGUCAUCACCGGGUUAUGCACACUCCCUACUCGCACAUAACCAGAUCAUCCUCGGCUUAUGCGCACUCCCUACUCACACAUAGCCGAGUCAAUAUAAUUACACAACACUAUAUUCAAACAUAUAUGUAUAUCAACAUAAUGCAGCAGCAUAGAGAUCCAUGAUAACCACAUGUCAUAACAUAAAAUUGAUUUAUCAAAGGUUUGUUCCCAAGGCACUUAUUUUAACAAAAGUUGUAUAGAAUCAUUCAAAUAUUUUGUACAAAACGAUCAUAUUCCCAAAACGAUUUUGAUAGGAAGUCCACUCACCGGUAUAUUGUUGAGCCUUUAGCUGACUCUAAUUCCCCUAAUGAUCCAAUUGGGAUGAUAGGGCUUCGUUAGAACCUAGAAUCACAUUAGCAGUAGCAAUAGGUCAAUUCACAUACUAUAAACCCUAAAAGCUAUCCCUUAGCUAGCCACUUUAAAUGGCUAUCUAUGUUCACUAUCUUAAGCACUAUAAAGUGGAUGAACAUCCUCAACAAUAAAACAGCUCAUAGUCCCAAUUACUAGCCAUUAUCCACAGCUAAAAAUCAAGCUUAGUUCAUCACUUACCCUAGGGUUCCUUUGUAGUCGAAUUCUCUUCCAAUAGCUUCCAAACAAAUAGAGUAAUUCUCUCUUUCUCUCUCUAAAAUGCCCAACUAGUGAGAGAAAGUAUGAAAAUAAGAUUUUUCAAGGGUUUUAAGGAGAGAGAGUGGAAGAAUACAAGGGUUCUAGUCAAAAGGGCACAAGGAUAUGAAAACUAGAGCUAGAGAGAGAAAAUUAUGCAAGCUCCGUAUCAAGCUUCCAUGAAGGUUGGAAGCAACGUGAGAUGGAAGAAGAAGAAGAAGACAAGCUAUUGGAAAUUCAAGAAGCUGCUGGAAGGAGAAGAUAUUUAUAGCCCAAGCUUAUCCAUUCCCUUGAAAUUACCAAAUUUCCCAUCCACAAAUUAGCUUAUUCUUCUCCAAUCUUUUAUGCAAUCUUUUUUCUCUUUUGACACUGGGACAAGGUCCAUAAUGGUCUAGACAUGCUCGAGUUCAUGAAAACUUAAAAUUCUAACCUAAGGUGAAAAAUGACAAUUUUGCCCUUAUCGUGAAAAUCAUCAAAAUUUUUGUUUCCUUGUCAUUUUACCCUUAAUUUCAUCAUUCAUUUAUUCCUUAGGCCUACUUAGGCCAUAAUAUUGUUUAAAAUCUUACUAUUAUGGGCUUACUAAGGAAAUGACGAAAUUACCCCUGAUUAGGGAUAUCGCAUAUUUUACUAUGAGUCUAUAAAGGUCAACGUCUCACAGAUGAUGAUUUUGAUUUUAUUUCAAGUGAAUUGGUUAGGAAAUGAUGAAUUAUGGUGAGAAAAUCAAGUACAAAAAAUCAUAGUAUUGAUGCACCCAUCAUGGACGAAUUUUCCAAGAGAAAAUGUGAAGAUGAUUUUGCUAGAUUUUAUACUAUUUGACUUGUGUUUGAUGAUUUGGAGUAUUGGGAGAAAAAUGAAAUUAUUUGGAGUUAAAUUGGACAUAUUGGCCAAUUAAUCGAGAGAUAGAUCGAAUUAGGCCAAUACCAUUUUAUUUAGGUACACAAUUGAAUUUGUGUAGAAUAUCAUGUUUAGACAAUAAUCCGAACAAUUUGCAUUCCAUCUCAUGCAUUAGUCAAGAUCCUGAAAUAGAUUUAUAAUGGUAUGACACAGUAUAUUGAAUUAUGUAUCGUGUAUUGUAUAUAGGUGGUGAGCCCUCUAACAAGGGUAAAGACGUUGUGUCAGAGGAUUGAGAAUAGGAGUAUUUCAAACUCCUGAUACUGUGAGUAACCUUACUAUCGUCUUAAUUAUCUAAAGUGGUUUUUAUUCGAUUUUAUGAUUUUAUGGAAAAUGAGUUUAAAUGGCAAAUAUUUAUGUUUUAUAAGCAAAAUGUGAUUAAAUGAAAUGAUUUUAUAAAAUUUUCUUGAAAUUGAAUGAUGGUUUUGGAAAAUGGAGUAAUUUGAGACUAAUUGUUGUGUUAUAAAUCAUGGUUUGAAUUGUAUGGCUUAUGAUAAUAUUAGCAUGAAUGGUUGAUUUGGUAAAUGUGUUGAAAAUGUAUGAACUGUUAAUUUGCCUUGAGAGGCUGUAAAAUAAAAUAAUUGUCAUGUCAUGUUAUCGCAUAUUUUAUUAAAUUGGUGGGUUAUAAAUUAGUCGCUGCAGUAGACGGAUUCCGUUGACCAGCCUAUUAGAGGGGCACGGUAAUCCUAUUAUAUUCAUACCUCAGUAUGAGAGGCGCGGUUGGAUAACUCAUGAGGUUAACACUUUAAAGUUCACUUCACGUCAAACCACCACAUGAGGGUGAACUUAGCCAACGCCAAGGAAUGGCUAUGUUUUCAAAAUAAAAACAUGAUUUAUGCGUACAUAACUUUUUAACAGUAUUGGCGGUCUCGGUUGGGAUAGCCCUCGGCCAAGGUAUCCCUAAGAACUGAGUAUGAAAAUUAUUUUGGCACGAGCCAAAGUUUUAAGAAAUUCAUAAGCCAUGUUGAUUACUCGAUUUUUAUGAAUUGAUUUUAUUUGGUUGAAAUGAGUUGAAAGGUGAUGAAUUACAGUAUGUUAAAUUAUUUUAUCUGUCUUCAUUUACUCAAUUUUAGAUAUUUUAUAUGGUAUUUGUUUACUCACUGGGAUUAUAUAAUCUCACCACCCUCCUUUCCACCCAUUUCAGGCUUAGGAUAGUCGGUAGAUAGCUCAUUUCGUUGAGGGCUACAGUUGGACUUGCAUCCUCAAAAAUUGUAGGUUUACUGCUUUUAAUACUUUUAGUCGUUAGUGGGCCCACGUGUCACUGUAAAUUAAAUUUUAUACUUUGGUUAUCUGUAUUACAGUAUGUAUGAAUUUAUUUAGCUUUUACGCUAUAAAAAUUAUUUACCGGUAACUCUAUAAAUAUUGUUUUCUAAGAUUAUAGAAUAUUUUAUUAAAUAGUUUUAUUAUAUUCAAAUAGUCAUAAUUUAAUUUUAAAUGAAUAUUUUAGACAUCUAAACUUAUUUUUGAUUAUGAAAUAUGUGUUUUCCACUCGCAUACUACAUUUUUAACUAGUUUCGAGGUUUUCGAGGAAAAAUGACCAAAAUGACCCUAUGAGACAGAAAUCAUUUUUUUUAUUGAUUUAAGUUGGAAAUAGCUUAAAAUCUUUUAGAACAUGAUAUUUGGUAACGGUUACUCACAGCGGAAAUGAGAAACUGAUAUUAAAGCCU